AGAGUUUGAUCAUGGCUCAGGAUGAACGCUAGCUACAGGCUUAACACAUGCAAGUCGAGGGGAAACGACAUCGAAAGCUUGCUUUUGAUGGGCGUCGACCGGCGCACGGGUGAGUAACGCGUAUCCAACCUGCCCACCACUUGGGGAUAACCUUGCGAAAGUAAGACUAAUACCCAAUGACGUCUCUAGAAGACAUCUGAAAGAGAUUAAAGAUUUAUCGGUGAUGGAUGGGGAUGCGUCUGAUUAGCUUGUUGGCGGGGUAACGCCACAAGGCGACGAUCGGUAGGGGUUCUGAGAGGAAGGUCCCCCANAUUGGAACUGAGACACGGUCCAAACUCCUACGGAGGCA
rnacentral:rRNA from 1 species